GCCGAGCUAGGUAGCGCUAGUUUGUAACUCUAGCGGGGGCAUUAAGGUGUUGGAACAUGUACUAUUAAGACCGAGUGGUGUUGUGUAGCACAACUUUG
rnacentral:SRP_RNA from 1 species